rnacentral:rRNA from 1 species
GACGAACCGUCCAAACGUUAUUCGGAAUCACUGGGCUUAAAGGGUGCGUAGGCGGCCCUGUAAGUUGGGUGUGAAAUCCCUCGGCUCAACCGAGGAACUGCGCUCAAAACUACAGGGCUUGAGGGAGACAGAGGUGAGCGGAACUUGCGGUGGAGCGGUGAAAUGCGUUGAUAUCGCAAGGAACACCAGGGGCGAAAGCGGCUCACUGGGUCUCUUCUGACGCUGAGGCACGAAAGCUAGGGGGGCGAACGGG